UAGAGAAACGUAUCACUGACCCAGUAAUUGUGAAGUACUGUCUCCUCCAAGGGUAGCUUUGAUCUCCUGCCCUAAGGGCCGUUGGGAGUGGGCAGAUGGACCCCUGAGCCCCUAAGAUGGGCCCCAGGAAUGAGGGUUGGGGGCAGGGCAGGGGGACACUGUCUCAGCCCUAGGGGAGGUGGGCGGGGAGCUGGGGACAGAUGGCCUUGGUUUGGGAGCACAGCCUCUGAUCAGCAUCUCUGUGUUUGGACAGAACCUGCUGGGACUACAGAACAUCCCCAGGCAGUUCUUCCUGCAGGUGUACCACACCUUCCUCAGGAUCGCAGAGACCAGGGUAGGUGAUGCCGUCCUGGGGCUGGUCUGCAUGCUGCUGCUGCUGGUGCUGAAGCUGAUGCGGGACCACAUGCCUCCCGUCCACCCCGAGAUGCCCCCCGGUGUGCGGCUCAGCCGUGGGCUGGUCUGGGCUGCCACGACAGCUCGCAAUGCCCUGGUGGUCUCCUUCGCGGCCCUGGUUGCGUACUCCUUCGAGGUGACUGGAUACCAGCCCUUCAUCCUAACA
rnacentral:sRNA from 1 species